GUGCUUUUGUGGAUCUUAAGCAUGAUGGUUGGGUUUUCACAUGCAGGUGUGAGACAUGCUUUCCUCAAACCUUGUUACCACUUUGGCACUUUACCCAUCUGACA